AGAUUUAAUACUUGUGAUUAUGAUAACAAUGACAAUGAUGAUAGAAGUGAAGGAGGAAAUUAGUGCCUUUCAAUAAACAUGGUACUGGAAUUUCAUGUGGAUCAGAAGUUUCCUUCAGUGGAAAACAAAAUUAGUUCCCUCCUCCAUGUUUCCCCAAUUCAUCUUAUGAUGUUCUUCCAAAAACAUACUAUUAUAUGCCCCUGAUAAUACCAUACCAGAUAAUGGAUUUCUUCCUGACUUCACCUUCUACUUGUUUGCCUCCAUUACUUUGCUCAUACUGUUUCCUCCUCUAGGCUUUUUCUUGCCUAUUCUCAUUUUUUGAAAUUCUUCUCAACCUGCAAAACCUGGCUGAAUGAAACCUUCUCUGACCAUUCUUUCUUCUUUGAUUCCUUUCUGUAUUUUACCUACUUCUAAUCUUGAUCCCUGCCAUGUGUUGGAGCCAUUUUCACAUGUCUGGAUCCCCCACUGAGAUUGUAAUCUCUUAGAGUAGAUGCUAAGCUGCUUAUAAACUGCAGAGAGAAAGAGCUGCAUACAACAUCUGCCACUGCACUAAUGUUCAGGGUGAUUCAGCCAAUGUGGUCCUAAUUCCACCUUGAACAGUCAUCCAUCAAAGGCAUAUAAGGAGCACCUUUCGAAGAGAUGGGAACUUCUUACAUUCAGGGAUACCCAGACAGUAAUCCAGCCAGGGCUUGUGAAGAAAGACAGGGUGAAAAGACAUGGUCAGAGUGCCUGUUAGGCAUUGCUGUUCUCCAGGGAAUAUCCACAGGGUAAUCAGAAGUCCAGAGUCUCUUCUGUAUGUGUUC
rnacentral:lncRNA from 1 species